UUACAAUGGAGAGUUUGAUCCUGGCUCAGGAUGAACGCUAGCGGCAGGCUUAAUACAUGCAAGGCGAAGGGGCAGCAAUGUCACUGUCGUACGGGUGCGUAACGCGUAUGCAACCUACCUAUCACUGGGGGAUAGCCCGGGGAAACCCGGAUUAAUACCGCAUAAAACAGGGGCACCGCAUGGUGAUAUUUGUUAAAGA
rnacentral:rRNA from 1 species